rnacentral:rRNA from 1 species
AAAGGAAUUGACGGGGACCCGCACAAGCGGUGGAGCAUGUUGUUUAAUUCGACGCAACGCGAAGAACCUUACCUGGCCUUGACAUCCCCACGGCCGGCCCGUAACGGGGCCUUCCCUCCGGGGCGUGGGUGACAGGUGGUGCAUGGUUGUCGUCAGCUCGUGUCGUGAGAUGUUGGGUUAAGUCCCGCAACGAGCGCAACCCCUGUCCUUAGUAGCCAGCAUUGAGUUGGGGACUCUAGGGAGACUGCCGGGGACAACCCGGAGGAAGGCGGGGACGACGUCAAAUCAUCAUGCCCCUUACGGCCAGGGCUACAAACGUGCUACAAUGGCGCGGACAGAGGGAUGCGAUGCGGCGACGCGGAGCGAAUCCCACAAAGUGCGCCCCAGUUCGGAUUGCAGGCUGCAACCCGCCUGCAUGAAGCCGGAAUCGCUAGUAAUCGCGGAUCAGCACGCCGCGGUGAAUACGUUCCCGGGUCUUGUACACACCGCCCGU